ensembl:misc_RNA Metazoa_SRP Metazoan signal recognition particle RNA
GCAGGGUGCAGUGGUGCGUGCCUGUAGUCCCAGCUACUAGAGAAGCUGGGGUGAGAGGAUUGCUUGAGUCCAGGAGUUCUGGGCUGUAGUGCAAUAUGCCAAUGGUGUGUCCGCACUAAGUUCAGCAUCAAUAUGGUGACCUCCCAGGAGUCAGGGACCACCAGGUUGCCUAAAGAGGGGUGAACCAGUUGAACCGGCCCAGGUUGGAAACAGAGCAGGUCAAAACUCCCAUGCUGAUCAGUAGUGGGAUCGUGCCUGUUAAUAGCCACUGCACUCCAGCCUGGGCAACAUAGCAAGAUCCAUCUCUG